GACGAACGCUGGCGGCGUGCUUAACACAUGCAAGUCGAACGGAAAGGCCCUGCUUUUGUGGGGUGCUCGAGUGGCGAACGGGUGAGUAACACGUGAGUAACCUGCCCUUGACUUUGGGAUAACUUCAGGAAACUGGGGCUAAUACCGGAUAGGUGCUCCUGCUGCAUGGUGGGGGUUGGAAAGUUUCGGCGGUUGGGGAUGGACUCGCGGCUUAUCAGCUUGUUGGUGGGGUAGUGGCUUACCAAGGCUUUGACGGGUAGCCGGCCUGAGAGGGUGACCGGCCACAUUGGGACUGAGAUACGGCCCAGACUCCUACGGGAGGCAGCAGUGGGGAAUAUUGCACAAUGGGCGGAAGCCUGAUGCAGCAACGCCGCGUGCGGGAUGACGGCCUUCGGGUUGUAAACCGCUUUCGCCUGUGACGAAGCGUGAGUGACGGUAAUGGGUAAAGAAGCACCGGCUAACUACGUG
rnacentral:rRNA from 1 species